UACGGAGGGAGCUAGCGUUGUUCGGAAUUACUGGGCGUAAAGCGCGCGUAGGCGGCUUUGUAAGUUAGAGGUGAAAGCCCGGGCUCAACCCCGGAACUGCCUUUAAGACUGCAUCGCUUGAAUCCAGGAGAGGUGAGUGGAAUUCCUGGUGUAGCGGUGAAAUGCGUAGAUAUCAGGAGGAACACCUGUGGCGAAAGCGGCUCACUGGACCAUAACUGACGCUGGAUGACACGAAAGCUAGGGGAGCAAACAGG
rnacentral:rRNA from 1 species